UACGUAGGGUGCGAGCGUUAAUCGGAAUUACUGGGCGUAAAGCGUGCGCAGGCGGUUUGCAAAGUCUGAUGUGAAAGCCCCGGGCUCAACCUGGGAACUGCAUUGGAAACUAACGGGCUCGAGUGUGGCAGAGGGGGGUGGAAUUCCACGUGUAGCAGUGAAAUGCGUAGAGAUGUGGAGGAACACCGAUGGCGAAGGCAGCCCCCUGGGCUAACACUGACGCUCAGGCACGAAAGCGUGGGGAGCAAACAGG
rnacentral:rRNA from 1 species